GUGGGGAAUAUUGCACAAUGGGCGAAAGCCUGAUGCAGCGACGCCGCGUGAGCGAUGAAGUAUUUCGGUACGUAAAGCUCUAUCAGCAGGGAAGAUAAUGACGGUACCUGACUAAGAAGCACCGGCUAAAUACGUGCCAGCAGCCGCGGUAAUACGUAUGGUGCAAGCGUUAUCCGGAUUUACUGGGUGUAAAGGGAGCGUAGGCGGCGUGGUAAGUCAGAAGUGAAAGCCCGGGGCUCAACCCCGGGACUGCUUUUGAAACUAUCAUGCUAGAGUGUCGGAGAGGUAAGUGGAAUUCCUAGUGUAGCGGUGAAAUGCGUAGAUAUUAGGAGGAACACCAGUGGCGAAGGCGGCUUACUGGACGAUAACUGACGCUGAGGCUCGAAAGCGUGGGGAGUAAACAGGAUUAGAUACCCGUGUAGUCC
rnacentral:rRNA from 1 species